AAGAAAUAACCAUAAAAAUGGGUAACCAGUAGCCCUGGAGCUGCUCUGCCUAUGGAGUAGCCAUCCUUUUACUUCUUUGCUUUCUUAAUAAACUUGUUUUCACUUUACUCUAUGGGCUUGCCCUGAAUUCUUUCUUGCAUGAGAUCCAAGAACCCUCUCUUAGGGCCUGGAUCGGGACCCCUUUUCUGAUAACACCAGGAGACACCCUGAGUGGAUUUCCUGAACCGACCGAUAGAUGAGCCUUCCACGCGGGGAGACCUGGAUCCUUAUCGUCUUUGUGGCCCCUUCCAUCUGCACGUGCGGACGAGGCCCGGGUCGCACUCGGGCCGUCAGCCUGGCACGCACAGCGCCGGCGUGCAGGGGGCCUUGGGUGCCACCGAGUCCGGGAGGAAAUCUAGGCCGCCAUCCGUCCGGAGACUGGCACCUGUGACCACCACCCAACAUGUAUUGAACAAGGGCUUGGAGGUCCUUUCUCUAAGGCCGCACCGAUAAACGAUUACCGACUGUUGACCUCACGGCCCCUUCGCUUCCGGCCGCAUUGCCUCGCUGCCCACGCCUGCGCACUCAGGCGCCGCAGAUUCAUUUGGAUUCAAGGUUGGCUCUCAACAGUGCCAGCUGCACUGUCAUCCUAAAGUACUUCUGUGGAAGAGAACAUG
rnacentral:sRNA from 1 species